CUCCAUGUUACAGAACUAAGAAAAGGGUCCACAGUUCAGAGUGAGACUGACAAGUAAACAACCCAAAAGCUUCAGGUGGCAGAGAGAGGGGCAGCAGCUUAAAGAAGAAUGUGGUUUGAGGUCAUCAGCGGUGCACAGAAGCCACUCCCUACUGAGUUCCUCUUAUCAGCUCUCAGUCUCCACAGAACUGGGUCUCACCACUACAUCUCCCCAGUCCCACUGAGAGGGACCCUCAAAAUUAUCUGGUUUAGAAGGUAGCCUUUGUUCUAUAUUUCCUCUAUUUCCCCCAGCCCUGCCACUGACCCUCUAUUUUACUCUCUUUUCCCUAUUCUGCCCUCCCAGACUGGCUCUGAGUCAAACUGAUAAUGUCUUUUACUGGACUUGGUUGUAAGAAUAGCGGAAUGUUGUUUUUCCACAGCAUGCCUUAUUUCCUGAAAUUUCUAUAUAUCCCUAGGAUUUACACUGUUACAUCGUUAAAUAGAACCUCCUCUACAACCCUUUUCCAGCUGCUUUCUUUCUUGCUGCUUCCUGCCCCAGAGACCGGAAGGCCCUGUCUACAGGGUCUAACACCCCCCCAUGCAGCUCCAGAGACUUGGUGAGUGGGCCCUCAUCAACGAAAUAAAUAUGGCCCUGGCCGUAUAGCUCAGUUGGUUGGAGCAUCAUCUCAUACCCCAAAAGGUUGGGGAUUCAAGUUCUGAUCAGGGCACAUACAGGAGGCAGCUGAUGGAUGUUUCCCUCUCUCUCUGUGUCUCUCUCUCUUCCCUCACCUCUUCUCUCUCUAAAAUCAGUUAACAUAUUUUAUAAAAUUUUAAAAAUGAGAUAAAUGUGGAAAUGUAUUGCAGAUGACUCUGGACGCUUUUGCUUCCCUUGAAAAAAGAGACAGACUUGACCCGAUGGGCUCUCUUCCCUUCCCCCGUCCCCCUGCCUCAAAGGCAGAUGUGAUAGCAUGAGGGGAAGUCCAAGAGAACUGCAGAGACCCCACCGCUGACCACCUGCACUGCCCACUGCUGGGCUGGUUUUCACAUGAGAAAAACAAAUCCCUCUUUGAUAGUUUUCUGUUCCUUGGAUUUUCUGAUACUUAGAGCCUCAAGUAUACCAGAAAGAAAGAUGCCCCAAUAACUAGUCUUUCCUCAGACUUAGAUCUCUUUAACUUGGCCAAUGAAUAAUGUGAGAUAAACUGAAGUUCCUUCUCCUAAUCCUCUGAUGUUGAAUAUAUAUUUUCAUCGUAAUCAAGAAAGGUAAAAUCAACUGUUACCUAGAUUCCAAAUGCUAAUGGAAAAAAUGUCUACUUCAUUUUCAUAAUUCUGCCCAUAAACCAUUGGCUAAUUAAUACUGCUUAGCAAUCCUUAUGUUCACCUCUGGUUAACUCCUUAUCUCAUUUCCUACAGUGACUAUUCUAAUAUUUUCUAAUAUCUUCAAGCCUCUAAUCACAGCCUCAUUCUUAGAAAAUGACACAGAUUUCUCAAAUUACUUCCCAGUUAUUUCAAGAUCGUCUCAGUUUUUCCUCCCCUGUCUUCAUGUAACAAACUUGAGUUAUGGGGGAAAAAUCCUUCUUGUUAAGAUUAACUCUUCUUAUGUAUGUGGUUAAAAACUUUUUUUUAAUUAAAUGCAUCAUAUGUAGGAAGGAGAGUAUAGAAACAUAUAUAGACAGUUAAAAAUAAUAAAUGCCUAUAUACCCCCACCUAGUUUAAGAAGAUAAUUAUUUUUAUUAUAAGAAUUCCUAUAAUCCCCCAAAAUAGAAGACCCCCUUCUCUUCCUCCACCCUAGAUAUAAACACUAUCCUUGCUUUUUGUUCACCAUUCUCUUGCUUUCCUUCAUCCUUGACCAAGUGUGCAUUCCUAAGCAAUACACAAGCUGAGCUCUGUAAGAAAACGACUUCUCCGGUACAAGAUAAAUGGAACUGUCUCUGGACCAUCUCAAGGAUCUUUUCUGGAUCUUCUCUGUGGACUCUCAAGCGUUCCUCUGAGGGAAUUCAUGGGCAAUUUAAUAAUGAGUCUUUGAAAACAAAGAUCUCAACAGAUUUGGAUCAUCUAACUGAGCUGAAAUGUGACCCGGGUUCGACAUGACAGCAGAAAUAUGGCUGGAGCUGCUUUUAAUUUUCGGCUUCCCCUUGCCUGCGGAAUAAAUUCCAACUUCCUUA